rnacentral:rRNA from 1 species
GACGAACGCUGGCGGCGUGCUUAACACAUGCAAGUAGAACAGUUGAGAACGGGUGAGUAACGCGGAGGUAACUGACUCAUAGAGGGGGAUAAAUAUUGUAAACGAUAGCCAAUACCGCGUACCGUCAGAGGGCCAUGCGUUGUAUUAGGUAGUUGGUGAGGUAAAGGCUGUCAAAGGCCACGAUACAUAGCAGACCUGAGAGGGUGAUCGGCGAAACCGGGCCUGGGACACGGCCCAGAACCCUGCGGCAGGGAGCAGUAGGGAAUCUUCGGCGAUGGACGGAAGUCUGACCGAGCAACGCCGCGUGAAUGUAGAAUGUUUUCGGGUCGUAAAACUCUGUUGUUAGUGAAGCGGUAACUAACCAGAAAGCGCCGGCUAACUACGUGCCAGCAGCCGCGGUAAUAC